rnacentral:lncRNA from 1 species
GACCCUGACCUCGGUGUUUGUCGCGCCGGCCACGACAGAAGACAACACUGACCCUCAUGUAUGAAUGAAGGAACGUUGGCCAAAAGCCCUGGACCAGGAGUCAAGGUUGGCGCAGCUGUGAUGGGAGGAGGUGAGUCUCUGCAAGGAAGAGGUUCAAGUCCUUAUCUGCCCCCCCCAGCCCCAAGGACUUGGGGAGCAACCAUCCUCGUCCAGGCCCAGGUUUGCCUCAGCCUCGUGUGGAUUGGUAGAGAUGGGCAGGAAGCAAGGAACUGGAAACAAGAAAUGAAGGGGCCUCCGUAGUAGGAUGAUUUCUCAGCAUGGUGCCCAGUGACCCUCACCCUUUUUAAAAAAAAUUUUGUUUUCAUAUUUAUUUAUUUUUGAGGUUGAGAGAGAGAGAGGGACACAGCGUGAGUGGGGAAGGGGCAGAGAGAGACGGAGACACAGAACUCAAAGCAGGCUCCAGGCUCUGAGCUGUCAGCACAGAACCUGAUGCGGGGCUUGAACCUGUGAGAUCUUGACCUGACCCGAAGUCAGAUGCUCAACUGACUGAGUCACCUAGGCACCCUGACCCUCACCCUUCUAUACUCCUCCCACCUUUGGAGUGCCGGGAGGGUGGGGGGGGGUCAUGUGAACAUGGUAAGAUACCACUCCCAUAAUCAUGUUAAGUUAUAUGACAGAAGGGAGGCCAAGCAGAUGUGUCUAAUCUAUUCACAUAAGCCCUUUAUUUUUUAAUAUUUUAAUUUUUUAAAAUAUUUAUUUAGUUUUGAGAGAGAGAGAGAAUAAGCGGGGGAGGGCCAGAGAGAAACGGAGAUACAGAAUCCAAAGCAGGCUCCAGGCUCUGAGUUGUCAGCACAGAGCCCAACACAGAGCUCGAACUCACGAACCAUGAGAUCAUGACCUGAGCCAAAGUUGGACGCCCAACUGACCGAGCCACCCAGGUGCCCAGUCACAUGAACCCUUUAAAAGCAGAGAAUGUUCUCUGCUCUUCACAGAGGAGGAAUCAGAGAUUGGACUGGAGGGGGAUUUGAAGUUUCUUACCACGGGUUCCGAAUGAGAGCCCAGUCUGGCUGAACACUUGAUUUUGGUCUUGUAAAACCUAGACAGAGAACUCAGGCCCUCCUGGACUUUUGACCUGCGCUAAAAUGUAAGAACUGGGCAUUAUUUUAAGCGCUGACUUUGUGGUCAUUUGUGAGGCAGGGUUAGAAAAGCAGCAGAGGCCUGCUAUCGCU